GAUUUCAGCGGCUUCUGAGGAGCGUCUUCAAAAGGCGGCCCCGCGGGGCUGAGGCGCGUUGCUGACGCUAUUGUUGGAAUUCCCGCCCGGAGGCCUCCGCAGGCACCGUGUUGUGUGAGGCAGUCAAGCCAGACAGAGCGCAAAGGAAGAAGGAAAGGAGGACAUACAGAUGGGGAGGAGACAACAGCAAAGCUUCUCAAGGUUAUAUCUCAGCUGCCAAAAAUGAGACAGUGUGAAGAACAGAAACCAAUGCCAUGAGCAGCCCCAGAUGAAUCCUGUGAUGGCUCGUCUGUGAGCAGAAAGAUGAUAGUUACUCUCUUGAGCCAUACAAGUACGAGGCUGGCCCCAAUCCUUCCCGAUAAGCAUCAAAUGGCGACAACUAGCUACAAGAAAUUCCUCCAGCAACAGAAUAAGUAUUGGCACGACAAGAAGUAAUCUACUGAUGGGAAUAGAGGCACUGAAAAUCAUCCCCUGACUAGUCAAUCCCAAAUUCACCUGCAAAUCCUCAUCCUGACACAAUCAGGAAGAUGUCAAAUGCAGGCACAUCAUGGACAGAUCUUGUACAUCUUUUCAGCAAUUCACCUUGGCCCUGAGCUAGAAGGAACUCCUGUUAGAGGAGGAAGAUGUGCCUAAGGUGAACCACCAGAGGACUACCUUAUAGGUGCUCAAGAUGCUCCAAUUGAUGGAAGUAUUCAAAGGUGAAGCCACAGAGCAUGGAAGUAAACACUUCAAAAUGAGAGCAUGAAAAUCUGGACUGACAUGGACGGGGGAUGGGAUUUUGUCUGAGAGGUUCACAUACUAAGAGGAAAAAAUAUGUCCACGGAUUCUUAGGUAAGUUCUAUAAUAUAAUUAUUUCUAAGAAUUACAUGAAGCCAAUUCUUACCUGGAGAAACGGUUGACUGUACCUGCUCCCCAUGAACUUCAACAACAACAACAAAAAUCUGUUAGAAAGAUAAUGAAACAAACUCUACUUUGGGUGAGAAAAAAAAAAAUAGGUAAUCACAUGCGAAGUUGAUUCCUUUCUAAGCUCUUAACACACGUUGGUUUAAUUCUCAGAACAACCUGGUAAGGUAAGUACAAAGUAUCCCAUUUUACAUAGGAGGAACUUAGGCUCAGAGAGUUUCAAUGUGUUUGUAAAGGUCAUUAUCUUAUCUAAAGUUAAGAGUCAGUAAGUGGCAGAGCCCAAAGUAAUACUGAGAUCUAACUAAUUCCUAAAUCUCUCUUACUUCAUGUCGCAUUUCUUUCUUCCAAAGUAAGUGGCUUUGUUCUGACUGCCCAGAGAUAUGCAUAUUCUGUAAUUACGGUCAGAUAUAGAAAAUGUUAACUCAUGUGAAGUUGAAAAGGUUUUUAAGAGGUAAAAUGUAUUUUUACAUGUCCUUUCGUUUGCUUAUGUGAUGUUUCUAAAACUUUCCCUGGGUUUAGAAUGUGUACCUUCCUAAUGUGGUUAAGACACAAUGGAACAUUGGUAAAUAAAGCUUUUAUUAGGCUCCUGUAAAGUGCCCUGGAGGGAAAAAACAUUCUCUGUGACACCAUCACUCUACUCUAUCCUCAGACAUUCUUGUCAUCUUAUUGCGCAGUUUCUGGACAGAUUUUAUAGUAGUCAUUAGUUCAGUUAUUGACACUCAAAGAAAAAAUUGGUAAUCCAAGUAGUUCAGGUAAUAAGUUUUAUAAUAAUUUUAUAAUAAAGUAACUGAUUUUUGUAACGAGUUAUGUAACAAAUUAGCUCUCUGAAGAAGUUAAACUUAAAAUCGAAACAUACAUUUAUUGAAAAAUCAGUAUGUUUAAAUAUGCUAUAAAAACAAAUUUGAUACAAUUAAAUUUGAUACAUUUUAAAAAUAUUUGAAUCUCAGUGAACUCAAAACUUCUGGCAGAUUUUUUCCUGACCCUAAAUUUUAUUAUUUAGAUCAUUGUCUAUAUUUCUACUCUAGGUCUGGUCUUUCAUGUCCUGACUAUGGCAUAAGGUUCAGUAAAUCGUUUGUUUGUUUAUAGUUGAUUUACAAUGUUGUGCCAAUUUCUGUUGUAUAGCAAAAUGACUCACUCAUACAUAUAUAUAUAUACAUACUUUUUAUAUUAUUUUCCACUAUGUUCUGUCUCAGGAGAUUGGAUGUAGUUCUCUAUGAUACACAGUAGGACCUUAUUGUUUAUCCAUUCUAAAUGUAAUAAUUUGCAUCUACCAACUCCAAGUUUCUAGCACUGCCCACUCCCUCCCCUCUGCCCCUGGCAACCACAAGUUUUUCUCUAUGUUUGUGAGUCUGUUUCUGUUUUAUAGAUAGGUUCAUUUGUGCUAUAUUUUAGAUUUUGCAUAUAAAUGAUAUCAUGGUAUUUGUCUUUCUCUUUCUGUCUUACUUUACUUUGUAGGAGAAUCUCUAGUUUUCACCCAUGAUGCUGCAAAUGGCAUCACUUCAUUCUUUUUUUUUGGCUGAGUAGUAUUCCAUUAUGUGUAUGUACCACAUUGUCUUAGUCCACUCAUCUGUCGAGGGGCACUUAAGUUGUUGCCAUGUCUUGGCUAUUGUGAAUAGUGCUACUGUGAACAUAGGGGUACAUGUAUUCUUUUUUUUUUUUUGUCUUUUUGUCUUUUUCUACGGCCACACCCAUAGCAUAUGGAGGUUCCCAGGCUAGGGGUCUAAUUGGAGCUGUAGCCACUGGCCUACACCACAGCCACAGCAACGCCAGAUCUGAGCCAUGCCUGCGACCUACACCACAGCUCAUGGCAAUGCUGGAUCCCUAACCCACUGAGCAAGACCAGGGAUCGAACCUGCAACCUCGUGGUUCCUAGUCAGAUACGUUAACCACUGAGCCACAACAGGAACUCCACAUGUAUCUUUUUGAAUUAUAGUUUUGUCUGGAUAUAUACCCAGGGAUGAGAUUGCUGGCUUAUGUGGUAGUUCUAUUUUUAGUUUUCUGAGGAAUCUCCAUGCUGUUUUCUAUAGUAGUUGCACCAACUUACAUUCCCACCAACAUUGUAGGAGGGUUUCCUUUCCUCCAUACCCUCUCCAGCAUUUGUUAUCGGUAGAUGGACAUUCUGACUGGUUUUAGGCGGUACCUCAUUGCAGUUCUGAUUUGCAUUUCUCUAAUAAUUAACUAUGUUGAGCAUCUUUUCAUGUGCCUACAAGGCUCAGUAAAUCUUUAUUGAUAUCUACCUAUUUUAUUUGUCUGAUGGAGAAGCCAUGCUACACUAAAUUACACCAGAACAGGAAAGAGAAGAUCUCUUUGGAACUACUACAAUGAGGAAAUAACAUUGGAAACUAUUAAGCUUUUUUAAUUACUAGUUAAAAUUUAUUAAAGCAAGAACUUUGUCUCAUCCCAUAGGAUCUAAGAUAGUCCGUGGUACAAAGUAAGUCUUAGUGGCUGGUUUGUGUUACACAGUUCUGAAAGGUCUGUAAUUUGUGCAUAAUGGAGAUCUAUGAUUUCAUGGACUAAAAGAUUCUACUGUAUCUAAUCUUGUAGAGGUAAUAUUUUUCUUUGGAACAUUCUCUGGUUGAUGGUCUUCAACAACUUUCUACUCCUAUUCCAAUAAAAAUAAAUCAUAAGUGAAUAACAAUAUUAAAUUAUUCUUUAGUUUCCAUUACCAGGGAGCACUCUAAGCAAUAUAUGGAAACAUAAAAGGAAAAGGCAGUUUCUAAGUUAAUGACAAUUUAAACUAUGUAGCACUUUUAAGACAAAAAUUUUAAAAAUGCAGAUAUACAUUUAUAUAUAUUAAUGUUAUUUAUAUGUGUUUUAAUAUAUACUUUCUAAAGUAUUUGCAUUUUAAUCUGGUUCCUUCCUCUCUUCCUUUUUUAAAAUCUCUCAUUCUCCUCACAUGUGUAAACAGCAGAAAUAGGCAUGUGAGAAGUAUCACAAACCUGUAGACAUUUUCACUCACCUCUGUGAGUGAAUAAAUAGGGAAAGCACUUGUGUUUGCUGUACAUGUAUUACCUAUGAACUUGAACCAUAUAAAAUUGUACUUUUUCUAGAUUAAAAUGGUCAGAUAUUGACUAGUUCAUAGAGUUCAGGUAAUAUAUUACAAAUUUCGUUCCACUGGUGUUCUGUGAUAAUAAAAUAUUUCCUCCUCUUUUUUAUGUUUAAUGAAACUAUACUCAGUGUAUACAGAACUGCUCAUAAUUCUAAAGCUGAUUGGUAUUCUAUUUUCUGGUUUGGUUAACUCAAUCAGUUAAGACACUAUACUACUGAGCCAUUUAAUUUAUCAAUAAAAUAUCUGCAAAUGUGGGUUUUUAAUUACAAAGAAGAGCUAAUAAAGGGGUAUGGAUUUUUCCUUGUCCAUCCAAGGUUUAUUUCUCUUAUAGUAACUUCUUCCUCCAUUAUUUUCCCUAAUAUCCCGAAGUAUAAACUUUCAUCUCUCUCCAUUUAAUGCAAAUUUCAGCCCUCCUACCAACUCUUUACUGCUUAUUAGAGAAGUCAUGGCUCAGGAAAAAAAUUAAUAGUCCAUAGUUUGCACAUUUUUAAGAGUUUUUUUUUUCAAAACUAAAUUUAAAAAUGUGGUUGGAGGUGUUUUCAUAAGGAUAAAUGAAUUUCUUAAGACAUUUUCAUUGUAGCAUUUAUUAUUUUUUAUUUCUCAAAAUAUUUUCUUUAAAUUAUGCAUGAUGAUUAUGUUUAUGCAAAUAUUCCUAAAUAUGAUGCAAGUUAGUCCCCUAUAAUCCAUAUGCAUAAUAUAUCAUAAUUUUCUUUUGCUCCACUUGUCACAUUUAUAAUCAAAUACUUACUUGUAAUAUUAUUUUGAAUUAUAUAUUGAGAGAAAAUAUGUAUUCAUUAAUGAAGAUUUAUUAAUUAUGAAUUAAUUACUGCAGUAAAUACAGAAACUUUUACAGUGCCAGACACAUAAUAGGUGCUUAUACUUUCUGACUAAAUAUCUGGAUGAUUGAAAUAGUAUAGUAUAAAUCAAAAUACAAAGGCACAUAAUUGUGAAAUUGGAUCAUGAAAAUGCUAACUUUCUUGAGCAGGUAAAACUCAAAAAAAAAGGAAACACAAAUGGUUAAUAAUUCUACAAGAAAAGGUUAAACCUAACUAAUGAUUAAAGAAUUAUAAAUUAAAGCAACAAAAUGCCAUUUUUACUUAUCAGAUUGGCAAACUUUAAAAUGGUUGAUAAUAUCUAGUGCUGGUAAGAAUGUGGUGAAAUGUUUAUGCUUGUAUGCCUUUGGAGGCAACAUAAAUUAGUGCGGCUCUUAAGAGAAAUUUGCCUUAUCUUUUAAUAUUUAUAGUUACUGUCUAAUGACUCAGCAAUCAUGCUUAUAGGCAUUUAUCCUAUAAAUCUAUUCAGGCAAGUGAGAGGUGAUACAUGCCCCAGUUUGUAUAUUGUAGUAUUUCAAAAAAUGAAGGGAAAAAGCUAGAAACAGUAAACAUUUUACCAUUUUUUUGAAUAAAACUCACAACUAUUGAAGCUAAUUUCUUUUAUGCUUAUUGAAGAGAGAGGAUUUGGGAAUGAGAGGAUGAUUUUUCUUCUAAAAUAUCCUUUAUAUACAUAUAUUCUGUCAAAUGGGCUGCAGCCUUUUAUUACUGUAGAUAAUUGUAUUAUUUGUUAUUGAUCUUUCUUCAGAUGACAACAUUUAUUAUUUUUACAGAAAUUGUGUAAAUGAGGAAAACUGUAAAAAGAUUUUUCCUCUCAGUUUAUUUUGCGGCAAGUGUCAGUCUUUACUGUGAAUGUAAAUUUCAGGGUUAAAAUUAAUAAUCCUAGAAGGAGAAGUGCAAAUCAUACAACCUCCUCUCUUACCCAGGUAAAAGUUUAAGGAAAACACAAAUGAAUCACGCAUUUCUGUAUAAUCUGUGCUUUUGUCAAAAGGUUGCCAUGACUCAUUUAUGACUUUCCAUAGUUUUAAAACCAGUGUUUUUAACCAUAGAAAAUCUACUUCAUGGUCCUAUUAUGACAACUGUUGAGUCAAUAAUAGACUCUUUAGUUCAUGCAUGGAUGUUUUUGUAGAAAUAAACCAAGUACAACUGUCCCUUGCUAAUACUCCAUGAAGCGGAAUCCUAAACAAAGAAAGAGAGAGAUUAUAAAACCAAGUUCUCCUACAUGCAUUACUUUGGGUGCUAUAUACUGUGUGGGGUGCCAGAGAUACCACCUCAUUUGAUUGUCAUAGCUCCCUGAAGGAUCAGCUACAGCUCAAGGAUCAAGUAGCUGCUAAGAAUGCAAAGGACUAGAUUUGAACCCAAAUUCAUAUGAUUUCAAAUAUCACUUACAGGUCCAAAUGACCAGGCAGUCCUGACUUAAUUCAGUGCAACAUCUGUUCUUUCUUUUAGCUAGCCCCACAGUGAUCAGGAUCAGAUCUUUGGGACAGUAUUCUGUGAAAUAAAUGCUUUGCUACUCAGUUAUAAGCAGCGUACCCUGGCAUUGAGAUAGAAACAAUAUUUAUGGAUCAUUCUAAUGUAUCGUUUUAACCAGUGGUCUUAUUGUGGUCCUACGUAUGAUUGAAAGAAAAGAGAUAGGAGUUCCUAAUAUGACUUGGCGUAAGAAACCUGACUAGUAUCCAUGAGGAUGCAGGUUUGAUCCCUGGUCUCGCUCAGUGCAUUCAUGAUCUGGCAUUGCAAUAAGCUGUGGUGUAGAUUGCAGACGCAGCCCUAGUCCUGUGUUGCUGUGGCAUACAUAGGCCAGAAGCUGCAGCCCUGAUUUGACCCCUAACCUGGGAACUUCCAUGUGCUACAGGUGUGGCCUUGAGAGCAAUAAAUAAAUAAAUGAAUAAAUAAAAAGUCCUCUGGAUUUCCAACAUUGGUAAUAAUAAACACCCCUUUAAAAAGUGGGCAUUACCUGUGGGUAUUCUUUUGAAGUCAUUCUUCUCUAGAGGGAUUGCAUUAAAUGAAUUGACUUUGACUUGGCCACGAAGAGAGGAAAACUUGCUUCAAUAAUUCAGAAUAUUUCAGGAGCUUAAUUCCUCAAGAAAAUAUUUUAUUUGCCUCAUUUUUCCUUUGAGGUCCCUUUCAAGCUGCAUACUUUAUUUUAGCUCUCAAUUCAUUUCAUUUUGUGUAGAAAGAAUAGUAAUAAUAAAAAAAGGACACUGCAGAAAUUGAGAUAAUACAGCUGUUUCUACUACCAUGUCUUUAUGUCUCUUUAAAAGCAACAAAAGGCUCAUAAACAUUAGAAUUAACUGAGAGUGAAAUCCCAUCUCUUAGCCAUAUAUCACAUUUCUUAUAUCAUAGCACUUACUUAAAAGUCAUGUUACUGUUUUCUUUAACUCAGAAGCUCUGACUCAAGAAUAAUAUGCCCCUAACAUGACUGAUGUGUCUCUUAUAACUACAUAGGGUAAAAGCUUAAACUAUUGUGUGUGCCUGGAGUUGCUGCUCUAUCAUCUUAGUUAAUUUUCUUCAUGUCCCAUGUUUUGUUGUCUCUCAUAAGUGACUGUAUUUAAGAAAAAGAGAAAAUUGGGUGUGGUUAUUUAUGCAGGUCCUAUGGUUAAUACACUCCUAAAGUAGGUACCUGCUAUCUUUAUUACUGCAAACACCAGAUUCUAUGGUUCAUGUUUGGAAAGAAAAGAAUAAACAAUUUUAGCAUACAAAAUUGAGAUGAAUUGCAACUCUAUGGUUUGAGCAAUUUGAAUUCUUAAGAUACAUGUCCUAGUUAUAUAUUGAGAGGUUUAUUAAUUAAACCCAGCUUGAUCUCUGGACCUCAUGUGCUAAGAACUUUAAUUUGAAGGCUUGCCUACUUUGCUUUUGAUGCCACUUAGGGUCCAAAAUUAUUGUACUGAAAUAGUUCUCAAACCCUGAUUCACCUUUAAUGAGGAGAAAUCACAUUAUUAGAUCAUCCAAACACUUCUAUUUACCAGUCACAUCUUGUCACAGCUUUAGUAGCAGCUGUCCACAGAUAUAAGUUUUCACAAAUGAAAAAUCAGGAUAGGAAAGGCAGGUGUCACCUAGAAAAUCUUGAACUCUUUCCAAGAGGCAUUUUGUUGAAUUGCUAAACUGAUAAACUUAGGUUCUCUCACAAGGCUCCAGGGAGGAGCUCAUCAAGCACGUGGUAGCUCCCCGCCCCCAACAGCCAUCAUUAAGUAGAAACCCCUAAGUUUAGAAAAAUAUAAAAUGUUCCUAUCAGUCACGAUUCUUAAGAAAGCCCAUUCGAAUUGUGAUUAAGUUAAAUAGGAAGCCCCUGAAAUUCAAGUCUGCAUAUUUUUUUCUUAGAGCAAAUGUUUUUAAUUUAAUCAAAGAAGAAAAUGAAAAAGACAUGUCUUUCAUAUUUACCAAUGCCUUCAUUUGUUUUCAGAUGCCUCCUCCUCCUACCUCUUAAAUUCAGAUAUUUCUUGAGGAUCCUCAUUGUAGGUGCCUCUUUGAAAGGCUUUCACUUCCUACUCAACUAGCAUCUCUGCAUACAGCACUCCAGGUCAUAAUCUUUGCUCUUUUUGGGAUCCACAUUCUGAAUAUUUAUUGGCUAUGGAUCCAAUUCUGCCACUAAUUUUACUUUUUAAAUUACUCAUGAAGCAGCUCCUGUUAUAAGCACUUUACGUGCAUUUGCUCAUUUAAGUCUUACCACAAUAGUAAAGAGUACAUUAUGGUUCUUGAUGUACAGAAAGGGAAACAGAAACUUAAAGAAAGGUUAAGAGGAAGCUGCUCCAAACUGACCCAGCUAGUGAGAGACAGAGCUGGGACUUCAGCCUAGGUGGUUCUUCCUCGAAAGCCUGUGAGCUUGACCACUGGGCUGUUGGAAAUCACUUUUCUCACUCUGGUUUGAAACCUGAGGUGAAUCUUUGACAUUUUCUUUUAUUGUUUACUUGCUAGACUACAGGCAAAAUAAAGAUACAAUUUUGGGAGUUCCUGCUGCGGCUCAGCAGAAACAAAUCCCACCAGUAUCCGUGAGGAGGAUGUGGGUUUGAUCCCUGGCCUCACUUGGUGGGUUAAGGAACCAGUAUUGUCGUGAGCUAUGGUGUAGGUUGCAGACAUAGUUUGGAUCUGGCAUUGCUGUGGCUGUGGUGUAGGCCAGCAGCUGCAGUUCCAAUUAAACCCCUAGCCUGUACCUCCAUAUGCCACCGGUGUGGCUCUAAAAAGAAAAAAAAAAAAAA
rnacentral:lncRNA from 1 species